rnacentral:rRNA from 1 species
UACGUAGGUGGCAAGCGUUGUCCGGAUUUACUGGGCGUAAAGAGCGCGCAGGCGGUCGUUCAAGUCGCGUGUGAAAGCCCCCGGCUCAACUGGGGAGGGUCACGCGAUACUGAUCGACUGGAAGGCAGGAGAGGGUAGUGGAAUUCCCGGUGUAGUGGUGAAAUGCGUAGAUAUCGGGAGGAACACCAGUGGCGAAGGCGGCCCACUGGCUCGAUACUGACGCUGAGGUGCGAAAGCGUGGGGAGCAAACAGG